GAUUGGAAGAUUCAUUCUCUGGAAAGUAGAAAAGGGCAUGUUACAUACUGUUAUCACUGCCAUGACAGAAACCAUAUUGAGGAGCUGGUCCACCUGUAGGAAGAAUUGCGCUAUUGGUUGGAGCAGCACUAUUACCCAGCCAUACACCAGCACUUAGUUUGUCAUAGGGAGCAUUUCUGAGCAGUUAUGGAGACCACUAACUAUGCAGUUGUUGCAGUGAAACUUGCACCAGUGUGUUUUCUGUGGAGAUGAAGGGAUAGUGUCCAGCAAUGAAGACCCAACUCAAGAUCUGACCUUGUAAGGCCAAUAUGAAAUAUCUGUGUGGGAAAAUGGGAAAAACCUGCAGUCAGGAAUGCACGGAAAUCAUCAAAAGAACAGUGUUAAAUUAAUCUUGAAUAACUUGACAUUUAUUUUGUUUGACAUAUUUAUUCAUGGUGCAGUGAAAACAUUCUUUUUUUUCAUGGUUAUUUAAAUUUAGAAUUGAUAGGAGGGAACAUCACUAUGUAGUUUCAUGUUCAUAGUCAGAUCAAAACCCAUGUACAUGCCCAAAUGAGCAUUCGAAAAUAUCAAAAUGGUACUUGUUGUAUGUAGUGUAAGUUAAUUAACAUAAUAAACAAAAAUAUUUAAUCAA